UGAGGAAUAUUGCGCAAUGGGGGCAACCCUGACGCAGCGACGCCGCGUGGAUGAUGAAGGCCUUCGGGUUGUAAAAUCCUGUCAGGUGGAAAGAAUGGUUCCAUGUCUAAUAUAUGUGGAAUUUGACGGUACCACCAAAGGAAGCACCGGCUAACUCCGUGCCAGCAGCCGCGGUAAUACGGAGGGUGCAAGCGUUGUUCGGAAUUACUGGGCGUAAAGCGCGCGUAGGCGGUUUUGUAAGUCAGCUGUGAAAGCCCAGGGCUUAACCCUGGACGUGCAUUUGAUACUGCAAGACUUGAGUACUGGAGGGGGUGGUGGAAUUCCCGGUGUAGAGGUGAAAUUCGUAGAUAUCGGGAGGAAUACCGGUGGCGAAGGCGACCACCUGGCCAGAUACUGACGCUGAGGUGCGAAAGCGUGGGGAGCAAACAGG
rnacentral:rRNA from 1 species